rnacentral:rRNA from 1 species
AUACGAAGGGUGCUAGCGUUGUUCGGAAUUACUGGGCGUAAAGCGCGCGUAGGCGGCUUAUCAAGUUAGGCGUGAAAGGCCUGGGCUCAACCCGGGAACUGCGCUUAAUACUGGUAGACUUGAGUCCGGGAGAGGGUGGCGGAAUUCCCAGUGUAGAGGUGAAAUUCGUAGAUAUUGGGAAGAACACCAGUGGCGAAGGCGGCCACCUGGCCCGGUACUGACGCUGAGGUGCGAAAGCGUGGGGAGCAAACAGGAUUAGAAACCCCGGUAGUCC